rnacentral:rRNA from 1 species
UGGGGAAUCUUGGACAAUGGGCGCAAGCCUGAUCCAGCCAUGCCGCGUGAGUGACGAAGGUCUUCGGAUUGUAAAGCUCUUUUUGCCAGGGACGAUAAUGACGGUACCUGGAGAAUAAGCCCCGGCAAACUUCGUGCCAGCAGCCGCGGUAAUACGAAGGGGGCUAGCGUUGUUCGGAAUUACUGGGCGUAAAGCGCACGUAGGCGGAUUGUUAAGUCAGAGGUGAAAUCCCGGAGCUCAACUUCGGAACUGCCUUUGAUACUGGCAAUCUAGAGUCCGGAAGAGGUUAGUGGAAUUCCCAGUGUAGAGGUGAAAUUCGUAGAUAUUGGGAAGAACACCAGUGGCGAAGGCGGCUAACUGGUCCGGUACUGACGCUGAGGUGCGAAAGCGUGGGGAGCAAACAGGAUUAGAUACCCACGUAGUCCCUGAGCGGGCUGGCAAGGCGCAU